CCUACGGGCGGCAGCAGUGAGGAAUAUUGGUCAAUGGGCUUACGCCUGAACCAGCCAAGUCGCGUGAGGGAAGACUGCCCUAUGGGUUGUAAACCUCUUUUGUCAGGGAGCAAUUGGCGCUACGUGUAGCGUUAUCGAGAGUACCUGAAGAAAAAGCAUCGGCUAACUCCGUGCCAGCAGCCGCGGUAAUACGGAGGAUGCGAGCGUUAUCCGGAUUUAUUGGGUUUAAAGGGUGCGUAGGCGGAAUGCCAAGUCAGCGGUAAAAUCGCGGGGCUCAACCUCGCUCCGCCGUUGAAACUGGCGGUCUUGAGUGGGCGAGAAGUAUGCGGAAUGCGUGGUGUAGCGGUGAAAUGCAUAGAUAGCACGCAGAACGCCGAGUGCGAAGGCAGCAUACCGGCGCCCAACUGACGCUGAAGCACGAAAGCGUGGGUAUCGAACAGGAUUAGAUACCCUGGUAGUC
rnacentral:rRNA from 1 species